rnacentral:rRNA from 1 species
GACGAACGCUGGCGGCGUGCUUAACACAUGCAAGUCGAACGGAAAGGCCCUGCUUUUGUGGGGUGCUCGAGUGGCGAACGGGUGAGUAACACGUGAGUAACCUGCCCUUGACUUUGGGAUAACUUCAGGAAACUGGGGCUAAUACCGGAUAGGAGCUCCUGCUGCAUGGUGAGGGUUGGAAAGUUUCGGCGGUUGGGGAUGGACUCGCGGCUUAUCAGCUUGUUGGUGGGGUAGUGGCUUACCAAGGCUUUGACGGGUAGCCGGCCUGAGAGGGUGACCGGCCACAUUGGGACUGAGAUACGGCCCAGACUCCUACGGGAGGCAGCAGUGGGGAAUAUUGCACAAUGGGCAGAAGCCUGAUGCAGCAACGCCGCGUGCGGGAUGACGGCCUUCGGGUUGUAAACCGCUUUCGCCUGUGACGAAGCGUGAGUGACGGUAAUGGGUAAAGAAGCACCGGCUAACUACGUG